rnacentral:lncRNA from 1 species
ACGCAAAGAAUAUGCCCGUAAUCGAGUCAAGUGGCCCCGAUUAUUCACGUAAAGUCCCCUCGCGUAAAUCGGUUCACUUGACGACGUCGAGUUGAGGAGAAUGUUCGGCCAAUCGGAGAUGAGAACUGACAUGUCCGGCCAAUCGGAGAUGAGAACUGGCAUGUUCGGCCAAUCGGAGAUGAGAACUGGCAUGUUCGGCCAAUCGGAGAUGAGAACUGGUAUGUUCGGCCAAUCGGAGAUGAGAACCGGCAUGUUCGGCCAAUCAGAGAUGAGAGCUGGCGCGGUGAUGGGUCAACGCCCGCCGCGGAAGUCUCUCUUCGAGGACGACGCCGAUGACCCUCCCUCGGGGUACCCAACACCGGAGCCGGACUGCGCGGAGACCAAGUACUCGCAGAUCAACAAGAACCUGCAGAACAUCAUCUCGUUUUGCACAAAUAAACUCGGGACCAUCCAAAACCAAUCCGAAGUCCUUCAGGGGGAACUGGAACACUGCAAGGCCCAGCAACAGCAGAUCUUCGAGGGCGGCUUCCCGGACAGCAUCGUCGAGGGUGACGCUGGUAUGGCGUCGGCCAGAUUUUCCUACCGGUCCGACGCCGGGCAGGUCCCCCAGAAAAUGCGAUUCAGGAGUCCUGACAGCUACGUGAAGUGCCAGCAGGAGAAGCAAAGGGACACGAACGGGGUCGAAUCCCAGUUCAUCCCUGGCGGGAGGGCCCGAUCGGUGCCAGCAUCGUUCGCGCAGCGACUCCAGGCGGUGGAGCAGGAGGCUGCCGCCCGGAAGAUAGCCGUGCGCAGGUGGAUCCGGCCGCAGUCACCGGAGGUCCCGGCUGGCCCCGGGCCGCUCCUGACCAAGCUACGUAACCUCACCGGCUCGCCGAUCAUCCCGCUCGACUGCCCCAAGUGCCAGCUCGAGAUUUCCAAACGGGAGCUCGAGACCAUGCGAAGGAACCUCUACCGCGCUCAGGGGCUACACCACUGUCAAAUGGAUUGUUGCGGUUGCGGUUGCGGGGGCGACGAGGAGCCGACAGGCCUGGCCGAGUGGGCGUGCACGUGUGGUGUGGGGCGGCAAAGAGGGCGUCGAGACCUGCACCGCGAAAAGGGGCGCGACCUGGCGUUAGCCACUCCGGUCCGGAUACCCGUCGGACUCGGCCACAGCAACCGGUUCAACGGCUGCCUCCGGUCCUGCAGUUUCAACGCGACGCCUUUGUCUCUCCAUUGCCCCGGCAACAACGGUUGCUGCCACCAUUUGGAUGUCAUCCACAAUGUCGUCCCCAACUUCGUCCACCACGAGGACACCCACGGCAAAUGCAGGGAUUGCCAUAGACAAGACAUGCUUCACGACGCGCUGAAAUUGAAAAAUUCCCUGGAUAUGCAAUACGAGCAACAAAGGACAACGAGCCUGCACCGUCACUACGAAUCCGGAACUAAAUGUUGUAGCGGAAGCGGAAAUGGGUCUGGCGGUUGCGGAAACACAUGCUGGACCGGAAGUGACGACGGGAGGUGGACGACGAAAGCGGAAAUGCCUCGCGCGACGGUACGGAAGGUGACCGAGAUCGGCGACUGCGCGGAGAAGAGCGGCCGGACAGCUGGAGGCAGAAGUGAGGACGAAGACGGGGGAAGCGGAAAUGGAGGAGAAAGCGGAAACGGAAGUGACAGUGGCGGACACAAGAGCAGAUACUUGGACACGACAAGAUCCAGCGAUCCCGACCUUGAUCGGAGCUGUUGCUCGGGGGAGUCGGUGAGGUCCAACGCCGAGUUUGCGUAUUUUGAGGAGCGGAUAGGUCCCUAUCCCUCCAAUUCCGUCCCCUCCAUUGACGAGUGAUCCGCAAAUCGUCGUUUUUCUUCUCAACUGAUAGUGAAAAGGUGAGAGGCACUGCGGUGUGACACGGAACAUCAACCAGCACACGCGGACGGAGACGCAGUGGUCGGGCGCGGCGGUGACGAAGAAGGACAUCGUCUGCGAGAAGAUUUUCUUCACGAGCGGGGCCGGCGGGAAGGCGUUCAAGGACCUCGGCGACAUCGACAGUGAGGCCACCGUGCAGACGACGUGGAGUCCCGAGGGGUUCCAGCUCACCCGGACCAUCAAGAAAGUGGAGAACUUCAAGACGAACUGCCGCGGGGACUGCUCGUCCACGCCGACCACCCAGGACACCCCGCCGUCUCCCAAGGGUCUUCAGUCACCCGUCUGCGAGGCUGUCGAGAUUAAGUCGUUCAAGCCCCUCUGCCGCCACCCUCAAGACCCAGACCACGCCUGUUCCCUCGGCACCGCUUACCG